AUUAAAGAGUUCUAUAGCUCCCAAACCCAUGUGAACAUACCUAACGUUGCCUCGGCAGGUCGCACCUACCUUGUAGCACCCUACCCUGUAGGGCCUACCCGGGAGAUGCGGGUAAGCCUGCCGGCGGCCCACCAAACUCUGUUUAAUAUUGAAUUCUGAACAUAUAACUAAAUAAGUUAAAACUUUCAACAACGGAUCUCUUGGUUCUGGCAUCGAUGAAGAACGCAGCGAAAUGCGAUAAGUAAUGUGAAUUGCAGAAUUCAGUGAAUCAUCGAAUCUUUGAACGCAUAUUGCGCCCAUUAGUAUUCUAGUGGGCAGGACCGUUCGAGCGUCAUUUCGACCCUUAAGCCUUAGUUGCUUAGUGUUGGGAGCCUACGGCAACGUAGCUCCUCAAAGUUAGUGGCGGAGUUGGUUCACACUCUAGACGUAGUAAUUUUUUAUCUCGCCUAUUAGUUGGACUGAUCCCCUGCCGUAAAACCCCCAACUUAUCAAGGUUGACCUCGAAUCGGUUCAGACAAACUCGCUAAAUUGAAGCAUCUUAGUCAGCGAAGGAAAAGAAACCAACAGGGAUUGCCCUAGUAACGGCGAGUGAAGCGGCAACAGC
rnacentral:rRNA from 1 species